AAAAAAAAAAAGCCUUCCUGUUCCAUUUAAAGAUCUGGGAAAAUCAGUUUUCUGUUAUUAGUUCUCAGUAUACCCCAGUAGGCUGCCUGGUGUCCUCCUUCUCCAGCAGUGUGCCUGUGGCUUCUUGCUUGUCAAGAGAUUCUGGACAUUGAAGACAUUUUGCCUCUAAACCUCGAGGAAAAUCAGCAUGCCUGCAGCCAGGAGAAAGGAGAUUUCAGCUCCUCUUUCAGAUAAUUCUGUGCCUGCAAAAACAUUGGUUGCUUCGUGCCUCUUUGUUAUGUUUGGGGAGAGAGGAAAAGAGCCCUCCUGAGCUUUCCAGGGUGGAUGUGAAGGUCAGAAAGACAUCAGAAUUUCACAUGUGUGGGAUGCCUCUCAUAAACUGAUUUUAUUUGGAAGACAGCAGCCAAACCACUUUUUGAGGAAUGAAGGGGAAAACUAUUAAAAAGGGAAGAACAUACCUGAUAUUUUAUUUAUGCAUAUUUAUAAAAUAUAUUUUUGCACUGACCCCCAAGAGAACAGUGCAUUGACUGAGGCCAUGGAGAAGGCUUCCAAAAUGGAAUGAUGGAACUGGGAUUGUGGGUGUGGAGUUUGAAUUGAAGUGUGUGAUAUGACAGGGUGGAAAACUUAGAGUUUAAGGUUGUAGAAUAUAGUAAUAUAUAUAAAGCAAGAUAGAGGUUUUAUGAUAAAGGCUGGUCCUUUUUCUUCACCUUCUUCUCCAACUUCUACUUCUCUUUCUUCUUCACCUUCUUCUUCUCCUUCUU